rnacentral:rRNA from 1 species
AUUGAACGCUGGCGGCAGGCCUAACACAUGCAAGUCGAACGAGUGGCGGACGGGUGAGUAAUGUCUGGGAAACUGCCUGAUGGCGGGGGAUAACUACUGGAAACGGUAGCUACUACCGCAUACCCUCAGAUGUGCCCAGAUGGGAUUAGCUAGUAGGUGGGGUAAAGGCUCACCUAGGCGACGAUCCCUAGAUGGUCUGAGAGGAUGACCAGCCACACUGGAACUGAGACACGGUCCAGACUCCUACGGGCGGCAGCAGGGGGGAAUAUUGCACAGUGGGCGCAAGCCUGAUGCAGCCAUGCCGCGUGUAUGAAGAAGGCCUUAGGGUUGUAAAGUACUUUCAGUGGGGAGGCGUUACCGGCAGAAGAAGCACCGGCUAACUCCGUGCCAGCAGCCGCGGUAAUUC